GAUGAACGCUGGCGGCGUGCCUAAUACAUGCAAGUCGAGCGAACAGACGAGGAGCUUGCUCCUCUGACGUUAGCGGCGGACGGGUGAGUAACACGUGGAUAACCUACCUAUAAGACUGGGAUAACUUCGGGAAACCGGAGCUAAUACCGGAUAAUAUAUUGAACCGCAUGGUUCAAUAGUGAAAGACGGUUUUGCUGUCACUUAUAGAUGGAUCCGCGCCGCAUUAGCUAGUUGGUAAGGUAACGGCUUACCAAGGCAACGAUGCGUAGCCGACCUGAGAGGGUGAUCGGCCACACUGGAACUGAGACACGGUCCAGACUCCUAGGGGAAGCAGCAGUAGGGAAUCUUCCGCGAUGGGCGAAAGCCUGACGGAGCAACGCCGCGUGAGUGAUGAAGGUCUUCGGAUCGUAAAACUCUGUUAUUAGGGAAGAACAAAUGUGUAAGUAACUAUGCACGUCUUGACGGUACCUAAUCAGAAAGCCACGGCUAACUACGUG
rnacentral:rRNA from 1 species